rnacentral:rRNA from 1 species
GUUCGGUGUGGUUUCAUGAUUGUCAUACAGUACACUAAAUUUUCUGAGUAUUGCACAAACCUGAGUAAAUAUGGGUCGAGGUAAUCUAACCUUAUACUACAUAUUCAAUUAAUACACGUUCUUAUUGAAAAAGAUAUACCAAAUACCAUUUUGUAAUGGAUAGCACACUUUUAAAUAAUGGACAUAACAAUUAGCUUUCCUUGUAGUGAAGAACAACUGUGUUUGCACAUACAAUUUUCACUUAAUUUGAGGACAUGUCCAAUUUUUCUCCGGUUGCAACGCAUAGGCAUAUGUACUAGUAAUAAUAAAACACGGGUUGAAUCUCUCGGAUUCACCGUCGCGUCCUUUUACACAAAGGCCCCUGUGAUUUUUAGGAUUUAAAGCCACCGUCCCUACUUUAGUUAGUCCAAAAAAACAUUUCGUCUUUUUUAUUUUUAUUACAGCAGCAGAGGACGAGCGGGAGGCGGCGCUCAGCGGCUGAGGAUCAGUAGCAGAGAAGCGGCAACAGCGCCACGACGCGUCGCAAAGAGGAGGAUCCAAGGCGCGGCCAUGGCAGCAUGUGCAGCUAGAAAGAGAGAGAGAUGCGUGGGAGCUCGAGGUGACCGAAAGGAGCGAACAGAAUGAAAGGGCCCAAGCAAGGCAAGCCCGGGCCGGGCGUCAGAGCAGAGGAAGAAAGGGGCACCGGCCGGUAGCACGUCGUGCACGACGGACACCGCCGCCACCGGCGCUUUGCUCGACGGACCCAAGCAGGGCAAGCCCGGGCCGGGCGUCAGAGCAGAGGAAGAAAGGGGCACCGGCCGGCAGCACGUCGUGCACGACGGACACCGCCGCCACCGGCGCUUCGCUCGACGGACCCAAGCAAGGCAAGUCUGGGCGUCAGAGCAGAGGAAGAAAGGGGACGGACAGCACUGCCACCGGCGGUUCGCUCGACGGACCCGCGAUUUGCCGAAGAGCGGGAGAGAGGAGCGGGGGAGCCACGAGGCUAGAUCUCGGCGUGACCCAGUCCUACUUUGCCUCCUAGCUACUGUGCACACCGGCCUGACCCCGUCCCUCGCCGGCUCCGACGUCCUCCUCUCCUGGCCUAGGCCGGAGACCCCCGCGGCCGCACAUCUAGGAGUGGAGCGUCGGCGCGGAGAGGUAUGUGGUCGCCAAGUUCAGAGGCGCGCACGCUCGAUCCGUGCUUGUUUGGUUGUGGAGGGGGGAGAAGAGAGGAACACACGGCGGCUGGGGUGGCUGUCUUUGGCUUGAGCACGGGCGCGUAGGCGUAGGAGGGAACUGGGGGCGGGGCGGAGAAGAUAAGAGAGCAGCGCUGCUGGGUGCUGGGUG